rnacentral:rRNA from 1 species
GUGCCAGCAGCCGCGGUAAUUCCAGCUCCAAUAGCGUAUAUUAAAGUUGUUGUGGUUAAAAAGCUCGUAGUUGAACCUUGGGCCUGGCUGGCCGGUCCGCCUCACCGCGUGCACUGGUCCGGCCGGGCCUUUCCCUCUGUGGAACCCCAUACCCUUCACUGGGCGUGGCGGGGAAACAGGACAUUUACUUUGAAAAAAUUAGAGUGCUCCAGGCAGGCCUAUGCUCGAAUACAUUAGCAUGGAAUAAUAAAAUAGGACGCGCGGUUCUAUUUUGUUGGUUUAUAGGACCGCCGUAAUGAUUAAUAGGGACAGUCGGGGGCAUCAGUAUUCAACUGUCAGAGGUGAAAUUCUUGGAUCAGUUGAAGACUAACUACUGCGAAAGCAUUUGCCAAGGAUGUUUUCAUUAAUCAGGAACGAAAGUUAGGGGAUCGAAGACGAUCAGAUACCGUCGUAGUCUUAACCAUAAACUAUGCCGACUAGGGAUCGGACGGUGUUAUUCAUGACCCGUUCGGCACCUUACGAGAAAUCAAAGUGCUUGGGCUCCAGGGGGAGUAUGGUCGCAAGGCUGAAACUUAAAGAAAUUGACGGAAGGGCACCACCAGGGGUGGAGCCUGCGGCUUAAUUUGACUCAACACGGGGAAACUCACCAGGUCCAGACACAAUAAGGAUUGACAGAUUGAGAGCUCUUUUCUUGAUUUUGUGGGUGGUGGUGCAUGGCCGUUCUUAGGUGGUGGGGUGACUUGUCUGCUUAAUUGCGAUAACGAACGAAGACCUUAACCUGCUAAAAUAGCCCCGCAUUGGCUCC